UGUGUCUGAGUUCUAUAUUUUUGACAUUAUCAUAUUAGAGUUGUAUUGGAGUGUGAGAUUUGUAACGUGGAUAGCCAUACUGUCUGCAAUCACAAACAAUCACGGUUAUAAUCCUCUCCAAAUAUUGUUUUCAUACUUCACCCCAACUUUUACAACAUUCCAUACAAUUUUGUACUACUUUUUGUUAAAAACUUUUGAAAAUUUUAAAAUGCUUGGAAUACAGAAUGUUGUAAAAUUAAAGUCUAGCCAACUGACAGUUAAGUCCAAAACUAUUUUUACAACGUACUUUCUCUACCUAAAAAUAAUGAUAAAGCAAUUGCAUACAAAUUAA